rnacentral:ncRNA from 1 species
AGGAUAGAGGCGCAGCUGUCAACAGUAGAACCCGGCGCGAGAGGCUUCGCGGGCCGUUGCCGGGGUCGAAAGGGGCCGCUGCCGAAGGGGAAGGCCGGCGGGCCGGCCCCUGGGCAAACGGAGAACAUCCGCUUGACUGCCGCGGUUGCGCGGAGCGCUAUGGA